CAUCGUGAUCCCGCUUUCGCGGAAAGGCCAAGAGUGACUUGAAAUGUAGACGCAGAGGCCUAUGGGAAAUGUAGUUUUAAAUAGAGCUUCAGAGCAGAGACCAGAGCCCAGAAAGGAGCAGAUGCUAGAUUUGCAAGAUCAGAAGCAGGUCUUGAUCCUCCUGCCCAGAAUGAACCAGACUUGAUGAUGAUGCCACCUUCAGGAGCCACCACACUGUGUGACAGUGGGGCAUUUGGGCCGUCCCUGGGAAGUACAGAUGCGCUGCUGUCACACAUUGUGGUGGCUCCUGAAGGUGGCAUCAUCAUCAAGUCUGGUUCAUUCUGGGCAGGAGGAUCAAGACCUGCUUCUGAUCUUGCAAAUCUAGCAUCUGCUCCUUUCUGGGCUCUUGUCUCUGCUCUGAAGCUC
rnacentral:lncRNA from 1 species